GAAACGGGUUAAUAUUCCCGUACUGGUGAUAAUUGCGAUGGGGGGACGGAGAAGGCUAGGCUAUCCGGGCGACGGUUGUCCCGGUUUAAGGAUGUAGGCAGGUGAAUUAGGCAAAUCCGGUUCACUACAUGCUGAGGUCCGACGACGAGUCACUACGGUGAUGAAGUAGCUCAUGCCCCGCUUCCAGGAAAAGCCUCUAAGCUCUAGAUUAUCAUUAAUCGUACCCCAAACCGACACAGGUGGUCAGGUAGAGAAUACUCAGGCGCUUGA
rnacentral:rRNA from 1 species